CUCCACCCGCAGCCCCCGCAAUCCACCGCCUUUCCAUCCGCGGCCGCAAUCCACCGCGCCAAAUCCGCCGCCACACCCCUGCGCGCUCGCCCCUGCGCCAAAUCCUCCUUGGACGCGCCCCGACGGCUGGCGCAACCCCUGCUCGUGCCACGGCUUGCGUAGAAUGGAAGGUCCAUGGCGCAACUCCUCCUUGAUUGAGCGGAGAAUGGAAGGUCACCGUACGACAUUGGUCGAGAGGAGGAGGUUGAGGAUGGAUGCCCGUAAUGCCACGCCCGCCCCUACGCCAAUGGAAGGUCCGUUGCCAAAUCCCACGGAUGGAAGGUGGCGGAUGGAGGUGGCGCGCACCUUCCAUCCCCGCGGCGCGCACCUUCAUCCUCCGCGACCGCCCGCGGAUCUCCAAAACAGCAUGGCGCGUGGAUGGGGAGGAGGUGCGCGGAUGGAAAGGACGCUCUCCUACCCAUCUGGUCCGCGAUCCUCGCUCACCUUCCAUCGACGACGCCGCAUCGACCUCGGCAACCUCUGGCCACCUACAAGAACAACCGAUUCAACCACUGCUCCCUACAUCCGCGCCCUCAAUAGACGACAGUGACCUCCUGGUGGCGGUGGUGCUAGAUUGCUGGGGCUGAAGAGGCGCCCUGUUGUCACAACAAGUCUUAGACGUGGUCUGCAGGAUGCAAGUUACCCUUCAGAACAACUCUUAAUUUCUGGAGAAAAGGAAACACAGGACCAGGUUUACUUUAUAAAACAGAUCGAAUCAUUGGGAAAUGCUUGUGGAACUAUUGCUCUACUCCAUGCUGUUGGAAAUGCAUCUUCCAAAGUCAAUUUAGUGGAGAAUUCAUGCUUGGACUUGUUCUUCAAAUCAACUGCUACCAUGGAUGACCCUCAUGAGCGUGCUGUGUGUCUGGAGAAGGAUGAUACAACGGCAAGGGCUCAUUUACUUGCUGCCAAUUAUGGUGCCACUAAGGGUAUGAGCCCAGAUGUUGCGACAGCCCCAAAGAGCAAAGGAUGCCUGAUGAUUGGAGAAUAUAACAAGGUCGCCAAAAAGUGACCUUGGCGUUACCGAGGACGACGCUCGUCGUGGACCUGCAAAGCGGCAUCGACGACCACCGACACCGGGGACGGGACCACGGGCACACCGGUGACAUGAGCUGGGUGGCAUGAAUUCAUUGCUCCAAAUUGAAACAUCCCCAACAUUUCCUCUUGUAUCCAAGGUCUCAACUAUAAUCUUGGGAAUGGAUGUGUCCCAUGGUUCUCUUGGACAUUGUGAGGUACCAUCUAUUGUUGUUAGCUUCUGUCCGCACCCAAUCACCUAAAAUGGAAAUGAUUGACUCAUUGUUUAAGCCACGAGAAGCUAAAGAUGAUGGUCUGAUCAGGGAGUGUCUGAUUGACUUCUACACCAGUUCUGGGAAGAGAAAGCCUGACCAAGUCAUCAUCUUCAGAAAUUCCUUCUGUCUCAAAUGGAGACAAUGACGAGUGGUCAGAAGUACAGAUUUUAAAACUAUGACUUACGUUCAUCAUCUUAAGUCUAUGCUCCUCUCUGUGCUUGACCUCUCAAGUACAGAUUUUAAAGCCUCAUCUGCUUCAGUUUAUUGUUCUUGUUCUCAGAUUUUGAUAUGAGAAUAUAGCUCAGAGUUCAAGUACUGAUCAUAAUGUUGAAGAACUGUUGGCGUAAUGAAGCUCAUUUUUAAGAGCAGUAAUUUUGGAUC